GUUUGAUCCUGGCUCAGAUUGAACGCUGGCGGCAGGCCUAACACAUGCAAGUCGAGCGGUAGCACAGAGAGCUUGCUCUCGGGUGACGAGCGGCGGACGGGUGAGUAAUGUCUGGGAAACUGCCUGAUGGAGGGGGAUAACUACUGGAAACGGUAGCUAAUACCGCAUAACGUCGCAAGACCAAAGUGGGGGACCUUCGGGCCUCAUGCCAUCAGAUGUGCCCAGAUGGGAUUAGCUAGUAGGUGGGGUAAUGGCUCACCUAGGCGACGAUCCCUAGCUGGUCUGAGAGGAUGACCAGCCACACUGGAACUGAGACACGGUCCAGACUCCUACGGGAGGCAGCAGUGGGGAAUAUUGCACAAUGGGCGCAAGCCUGAUGCAGCCAUGCCGCGUGUAUGAAGAAGGCCUUCGGGUUGUAAAGUACUUUCAGCGAGGAGGAAGGCAUUAAGGUUAAUAACCUUGGUGAUUGACGUUACUCGCAGAAGAAGCACCGGCUAACUCCGUGCCAGCAGCCGCGGUAAUACGGNGGGUGCAAGCGUUAAUCGGAAUUACUGGGCGUAAAGCGCACGCAGGCGGUCUGUCAAGUCGGAUGUGAAAUCCCCGGGCUCAACCUGGGAACUGCAUUCGAAACUGGCAGGCUAGAGUCUUGUAGAGGGGGGUAGAAUUCCAGGUGUAGCGGUGAAAUGCGUAGAGAUCUGGAGGAAUACCGGUGGCGAAGGCGGCCCCCUGGACAAAGACUGACGCUCAGGUGCGAAAGCGUGGGGAGCAAACAGGAUUAGAUACCCUGGUAGUCCACGCCGUAAACGAUGUCGACUUGGAGGUUGUGCCCUUGAGGCGUGGCUUCCGGAGCUAACGCGUUAAGUCGACCGCCUGGGGAGUACGGCCGCAAGGUUAAAACUCAAAUGAAUUGACGGGGGCCCGCACAAGCGGUGGAGCAUGUGGUUUAAUUCGAUGCAACGCGAAGAACCUUACCUACUCUUGACAUCCAGAGAACUUAGCAGAGAUGCUUUGGUGCCUUCGGGAACUCUGAGACAGGUGCUGCAUGGCUGUCGUCAGCUCGUGUUGUGAAAUGUUGGGUUAAGUCCCNCAACGAGCNCANCCCUUAUCCUUUGUUNCCAGCGNUCCGGCCGGGAACUCAAAGGAGACUNCNNGUGAUAAACUGGAGGAAGGUGGGGAUGACGUCAAGUCAUCAUGGCCCUUACGAGUAGGGCUACACACGUGCUACAAUGGCAUAUACAAAGAGAAGCGACCUCGCGAGAGCAAGCGGACCUCAUAAAGUAUGUCGUAGUCCGGAUU
rnacentral:rRNA from 1 species